rnacentral:rRNA from 1 species
UACGUAGGGGGCAAGCGUUUGUCCGGAUUUAUUGGGCGUAAAGAGCGUGUAGGCGGCUUGGCAAGUCCGCUGUGAAAACUCGAGGCUCAACCUCGAGACGUCGGUGGAAACUGCCUCGCUAGAGUCCGGAAGAGGAGAGUGGAAUUCCUGGUGUAGCGGUGAAAUGCGCAGAUAUCAGGAAGAACACCCGUGGCUAAGGCGGCUCUCUAGUACGGUACUGACGCUGAGACGCGAAAGCGUGGGGAGCGAACAGG